GCCAGGGCCUCCGAGAACUGCUGCCUGCGCCAACUACCGAGCUGCCUUUUAUUUCAUCAUCAGAGUACUUAUGGGAACGUGGGGAAAAGGAUGUUCUGAUAUUAGGUUUGUUUUCAGCGUUCUUAAAAAUUCGAUUUUUUAAAAGUAUUAUUAUCAGCGUCAUAAAAUGGCUGCCACUUAAAACUGCCUGUCCCAGUACACAAACACUGCUCAUGCCUUUUCUAAUCAUCCCUGCCUUACAAGGCUAGCGAAAAACGUUAAGAUUUACCCACACCUCUGGAUACCAAAAUAUGGCUCAAAGGCAAGACAAUUUUUAGAUAGAUAUUUAAUUUUCAAUUUAGAAAUGCCAUGUGCUAGAACAUGUGCAUUCCUUCCCCCCUGGUUUCCUUCCGUUCCUGGAUAUAACUUAAGUGUUUGGCAUACUUUUUAUGUCCAUCACUAAGACUACUGUAUUUAAAAAUUUACAAAUAUGAACUGUUUAAAAUUGCAUUCUUAAAAAGUAAAAACUUAUCUCCAAAAAUCGUGAUAUACAAAGCACAUUAGACUUCUGCAUUAACUUUAAAAAAUGCAAUACACAUAAUCACUAUUUUAAAAGUAUAGUGCUUGUUUCAAAAACAGGAAAACUUAAAACUUUUGCUGAUCGCAGUCUCUCAAGUGUAUUUGAUCUGAAAGCAAUUCCUUUCAAUCCCUGCAGUAUCAGGCUGCAAAGGUGGUGGUUUUAGUUGUGUUCCCUAAACACUAUUUUUUCAAAAAUUAAUUCUCUACAGUGUCAACCUACUGGAUGACACAGGAACACCUAGCUACACAAGGGCAACAUAAAUUUCAACUCCGGAGAAAUAUCAUCACACAAAACACAAACAUUCUUUAAACUUUACAAUCUUUAAAGGAAGUGAUGUCAUAACUGUAUACAUGCAUUAAUAAUGUAUAUAACUUAAGAGUAACAGUAAUUUAAAAGUAACUCCAUCUUCAACAAGUCUGGAGUAUUCUGGACAUUCAUCAAAUAUAUGAUUUAAAGUAUACUUGGCAAAAACAGUAAAAACCUGCUUCUUGUUUUGACUAAAGGAAUUAAAUGCAUCACAAUGCCCAAGUUAUUACCCAAAUAAUACUAAGUUUAUUCAAAGACAUCACUUCAAGAGUUAGAGCAGUCUGAUCAAUGAAACAAAAAACCUUGCAUAAGAAAGCCAAAACCCUGGUGAGAAUAUGCAAAUCAUAUACUCAAGGGGGUAACAAGUCUAACUCUGGGUCUUUCCUGACUGUCAAAUGCAUUGAAGCUUCCUAUGCCUUCACACUGUGGCUUUCCAGAGAAUUCGUCUUGCAUUAGAAGCUUUCUGUCCUUGACCCAGUAAUGACAAAAGCAACUUAAAAGAGAUCCAAAAUUGUAACUACUCAAUUUGUAUAGAAAUUUGGAAAUGUAUUUUUUAACGCAAGGCUCAAAAUAUUUUUAGUAAAGAGUAAACUCAUCAAUUUGUAAAAAACUAUAUUCCACACUUCAAAAUUUAAAAGCUAAUUUAAACAAGAAUUUUAUGUAAAAUUAUAAAGUAAAAUCAAAAUUGGAUCAUAUACCAAUCACAUUCUUGUUAGCUGCAUGAUUUUAAAACUAUGACAUGACAAUUCUUAAGAACACAUCCAGAAAUGCAUUCACAUUUUUAAAUUAACAUAAAGAUACAGUCAUACAACAAAAAAUAUCUUAUAUGCUUUAUUACUUCAGCCACUGAUAAGCUACUUCAAAGAAUGAAGGAGAAAUCAUGAUUUAAACAAACAGCACAUUAAAAAGCUUCAGAAGAGAAAGCAUUACAGGACACUGUCAAAAUAAAUGGAUACAUUUAAAGCAGCACCAACUAAAACAUAAGGAUAAAAUAAAAUACAAUUAUUAUCAACCAGAAAGAACUGUCUUAAUAUACACAAACAUAAACCUUGUAAUAUUUUAAGCAUAAAAAAUACAAUUACAUUGCCAUAGUAACAAACACAAAGCUUAAGUAUUAAUAGCAUUCCAAAAUUUUUGUGGUUACAGAUUUAAUGAUCUCAGGAACUAUUUAUUAAGGUUUUGAUAAGUCAUAAAAAAAAUUUUAAUUGUCACGUGUAUCAAAAGAAACAAUCAAAAAUAUAAACUGAAAGGCAUCAGUCAAGGGGUCCUAUUUGUGAUUGUGUUUUUAAAUGUACAUUUUUUCAUUCAUAUAACUUUCUCAAAUGUCUAUUUACUAUAAUUUACUACUACCAGGCUGCUCUAUGGCCCUCGGUUACAAGUUUGAAUAUCCCAGAUUCUUCAAAGAAAAAAAUUUGCCUUGUAUGUAAAAUGGUGCAAUGCAGCAAUGGCUAAACAGACAAGGUCAUUUUUCUGCAGCAUGAAAACCUAAAACCUGAAAAUUUACUGACAGAAAAACUACAGUUUCUAGGAAAGGCCCCUCCGGAGAAAAGUACAUUACCUUCUGAAUGCUGUAAGAGGCCUUAAGUCACAACUCAACUUUCAUAAAUUGAUACCAAAAAAUCAGGGUGUGGCAUGUUAGCAAUCUCAAGGUCACGCUUUAAAAACCAACCCAAGUUAGAAAAUUCUUGAAAUACAGACAGCAAUCCAUGUCUGUCAAAGUAAACAAGUGUAAGCUGAGGUUUCCCGAAAAAAAAAAAAAAAGAAAGAAAGAAAGAAAGUUGAUAGCUCAUACCUCGAUGCAUUGCUGUGUAGCGAACUGUCCUCCUCUUGGCUUUUGUCCUUAUUUCUCAUCAUCUUUUAAUUCUUAAAUAUUAAGGGGGAGGGGGAAUCUGUGUUUGCUUUGAAGUCCUGUGCCCAGGUAUUUACUGUCAAAAGUUGAAAGAAAGGUGAGGUCCCAGCUUCUGCGGAUGGUUUUAUUAUCAGGAACAAAGUCCUGACGAUGUUAGCGAUAUUCAUGUAAUGCAACAACGAUAAACACCAGAAAAACAAAAUAUUUCUAUUUUUCCGUUUUAAAAUGAGAGGGGGAUAAACUGAACGACAGAAGCAUCACUAUCAAUAAGGAAAGUUUCUCAAAAGUAACACACUGGAUACAAAUAACAAUCUCUCUAUCUUAUUGCGUCAUCCAGGAAUUUCUCAUAUUUACAGUAAAUAAAGCCAAGUUCAACAUUAAUUUUUUUAAAAUUAUCACUGAUUAUCAUGGACUUACCUGAUCCAUGUAGUAGGUCCAAAGCAAGAGUCCUAUCUAGUAGUAGAAAAAUAUCCGAUCCAAAAUAAUUUUUAAAAACGCAAAAUUCUCCGUUAAAAAACAAAAAGUAAAUGAAAUAAUCCUCAAAUAUGUUGACUUGUCAAAAAAUAAAGCAAUAAUUAAUACUAAAACAGGUCCGGAAGGGGAAAAAAAAACCUCAUUAGGAGAGCGCACAAAAAUGGAGGUGCGCCAUGGCUUCUAAGCUGGAAAAAACAACGACCUGGGCUCUCAAUACGGCAGCUUCUUCCAACAAGGCACGAAAAGAAAGCUCCUAAAAGCAGCUUUUCUCCCAAAAAAAGGUUCGGAUCGACCCCAGUAAGUCACUAGAAGAGGCAGGGGGCUGCGGGGGCCCCCUGAGGCUGCCCGAAAGUUAGGGAAAGUUGCGUAAAGUGAACCGAAGCAGGGAGCAAAGCGCGCUCUCUCUAAGGCACAGCCGCCAUCUAGAGCCUCCUUCCCAGCUCUGAGAGCUCUGCCUUUGAUUGACACUCUCUACAUUUACCCCACAACUCAGGUGAUGUACCAUAGACCCACCCCUUCAUCUCCACC
rnacentral:lncRNA from 1 species